rnacentral:lncRNA from 1 species
CUCAACUAUAAUUCCAGGCAUAACAUGGGGUCUCUGUGUAUUUGUCUUUCCCACUGGGUUGGAAGCUCCUGGAGGAGAAGAACAGUGUCUCUUUACUCUCUUCCUGGCCUGGAAUGCCCAGCACUGAGUCAGACCAGGGAAGAUGCCUUUUCAAAGCCGACAUGCCUGGCUUCUUCCAGCUGUACCACUCCAGAAUUCUGCUUCACAUCUCUUUGCUCAGAAAUGCAAGUUUCUAACAGAACGAUCUUCGGAAUAAAAUGUACAAAAAUGAAGAGGAGGCUGGCCAAAGCCAUGCCCCCAAAGAGACACGGCAUCUGUUGUGAGAUUCUUGCUGCUAGCUAGCUGCCUGCCAAAGACCACCAACCAACAGCGGGUUCUUCUUCAACACAGAUAACUUUAAUCAACAUCAUUCCCUCAUGUAAGUAAGCUUACCAAGGGGCAGCAAGGGCCACCUCAAGCAGUAAAAUGAGAAACAGAAACAUGAGGCUUAAUGUAGCAUGAACAUGGGUUCAAAGAAAAUCAUUUCAGAAAAAGUCGGAAGGAGCAAGACAGGAUCAAAGAGACAUGUCCAUUUCAGGGAAUAAUCCUGCUUUCCAUCCAAGCCCACCGCUGCCCCUCCUUCCCCUUUCAUAUUUCCAAUUGGCCUGACGUUCGCAGCAGAGAGAGCCCAUCUAACCAAGAUUUUCCUUUCCCAGAAAGGACUUUUGUGAUGUUUCCGUGCAAAGUGAAUAUUCUUACUGGAAGUGAAAGAGGGGGACAGAGGCAAUAAAAGAAUGAAUGUGCAAGUUUACAAUCCAAAAGAAGAACAGGCUCUUUCCUCCCAUUAUGAGCAGCUUCUAAAUCACAUAGAGCAUCAGCAGAGGCAGAAACUAUAUGCAUGUGCAUGAAAUAAAUGCUUACACGUUAUAUAAAUCUAUGCAUCUGCCUCCAAAAGCAGACAAUUAAGAAGUAGAAGAAAGUAAUCAAAGCUUGACUCUAUAUAUCAAAAUCUAGGAAAGUGGCAGGCUGUCUUGUCAUUGGUGUUUUUCCUCCCCCGUAAUAGAUUCUCCGCCCUCUUCCAUAAGCAUUUUGCCAGGCUAUGUUUAGAAUAGACGUCAGAGCUGGGAAACCAACUUGCAAAGCAAGACUUUCCCAAUAGUGCCAUCUGGUGGUGGUUCUAUGUAUUAGACCAUAACUUUGACCCGAGAUACCCAUGGCAGGAAGCCCAAGGCAAACAAUUUGGAAUCAGUCCUUUCACUAUUUAAAAAGUAGAGCCUUUGGGAUGUGGCAUUGGAUAGUGUGUGACAAGUGCCCAACACACAGGUGUUGAGAGAAAGUGCUGCCACAAGAUGGACAUCAUACAUUAGGAAACAAAGUUUUGGGUCGACCACUUAGCUGGUUGCAUGAAUUAGCACACUGUCCAAUUUUUUGCUUUCACCGUGCCAUGUAAAUAUUUACAACAGACCAGUGGAAAGAGAUUUGUGAAAGUACAAAUUCUAAGGAAAGGACUUAGAAUCGCUGUAUUUUAGAGAAGAAUCCCUUUAGUUGUGGGCUUCUGAAACUCGGGACUAUGAUCCUGUUUCAGGGAAAGUGAAUUCCUUGAAAUUGAACAUAAAAGGUGAUAUGUUGGCACAUGAGGGCAUUUUAUCAGAUUCUUAAAGGAGUCCAUGGCAUAGAAAAGGCUAAGGACCGGAGUUCCUAUCGUGGCUCAGGGAAAACGAAUCUGACUAGCAUCCAUGAGGACACAGGUUUGAUCCCUGGCCUCGCUCAGUGGGUUAAGGAUCCUGUGUUGCUGUGAGCUGUGGUGUAGGUUGCAGACGUGGCUUGGAUCUGGCGUGGCUGUGGCUGUGGUGUAGGCCAGCAGCUGCAGCUCCAAUUCGACCCCUAGUCUGGGAACCUCCAAAUGACUCGGGUGUGGCCCUAUAAAGACAAAAGAAAAGACAAGGGAAAAGAAAAGGCUAAAGAGAGAUGCUUGGGAUUCUAACGUAACCGUUCUAACUGUAUUAGAAAAUUCCACAACAGUCCACAGAUUCAGUUACUCUCCAUUUGAACUUUACCGCUAUGGAGACAGCACUGUUUUGAGGCAGUCAGUCAACAGCAAUUACUUCGAAGCCUUAGGAAGUUUUUUUUUUGUUUGUUUGUUUGUUUGUUUUUUGUCUUUCUGCCAUUUCUUAGGCCGCUCCCGCGGCAUAUGGCCAUUCCCAGGCUAGGGGUCUAAUCGGAGCUGUAGCCACCAGCCUACACCAGAGCCACAGCAACUCGGAAUCCGAGCCACAUCUGCGACCUACACCACAGCUCACGGCAAUGCUGGAUCCUUAACCCACUGAGCAAGGGCAGGGAUCGAACCCGCAACCUCAUGGUUCCUAGUCGGAUUCGUUAACCACUGCGCCACGACGGGAAUUCCAGCCUUAGGAAGUUGUAAUGUCGAAUUGUCUUUCUCCA